rfam:Larimichthys crocea isolate SSNF unplaced genomic scaffold scaffold23, whole genome shotgun sequence.
ACCAGGAUGGCCGAGUGGUUAAGGCGUUGGACUUAAGAUCCAAUGGGCAGAUGCCCACGUGGGUUCGAACCCCACUCCUGGUA